UCCAGCAGCUAGCUUUCUGCAACUCUCACAUGAUCACCCACUGAAGCUAAGCAGGGCUGCGCCUGGUCAGUACCUGGAUGGGAGACCACAUGAAAAAGCUAGGUUGCUGCCGGAA
rnacentral:rRNA from 1 species